GUAGUCAUAUGCUUGUCUCAAAGAUUAAGCCAUGCAUGUCUAAGUAUAAACAAGUUUGUACUGUGAAACUGCGAAUGGCUCAUUAAAUCAGUUAUAGUUUAUUUGAUGGUACCUUGCUACAUGGAUAACUGUGGUAAUUCUAGAGCUAAUACAUGCAAUCAAGCCCCGACUUCUGGAAGGGGUGUAUUUAUUAGAUAAAAAACCAACGCGGUUCGCCGCUCCCUUGGUGAUUCAUAAUAACUUCUCGAAUCGCACGGCCUUGCGCCGGCGAUGGUUCAUUCAAAUUUCUGCCCUAUCAACUUUCGACGGCUGGGUCUUGGCCAGCCGUGGUGACAACGGGUAACGGAGGGUUAGGGCUCGACCCCGGAGAAGGAGCCUGAGAAACGGCUACUACAUCCAAGGAAGGCAGCAGGCGCGCAAAUUACCCAAUCCCGACACGGGGAGGUAGUGACAAUAAAUACUGAUACAGGGCUCUUUCGGGUCUUGUAAUUGGAAUGAGUACAAUUUAAAUCCCUUAACGAGGAACAAUUGGAGGGCAAGUCUGGUGCCAGCAGCC
rnacentral:rRNA from 1 species